rnacentral:rRNA from 1 species
UACGUAGGGGGCAAGCGUUGUCCGGAUUCAUUGGGCGUAAAGAGCGUGUAGGCGGGUCUUUAAGUCAGGGGUGAAAUCCUGGAGCUCAACUCCAGAACUGCCUUUGAUACUGAAGAUCUUGAGUUCGGGAGAGGUGAGUGGAACUGCGAGUGUAGAGGUGAAAUUCGUAGAUAUUCGCAAGAACACCAGUGGCGAAGGCGGCUCACUGGCCCGAUACUGACGCUGAGGCACGAAAGCGUGGGGAGCAAACAGG